UACGUAGGGGGCAAGCGUUGUCCGGAUUUAUUGGGCGUAAAGAGCGUGUAGGCGGCCAUGUAGGUCCGUUGUGAAACUCGAGGCUCAACCUCGAGACGCCGAUGGAAACCAUGUGGCUAGAGUCCGGAAGAGGAGAGUGGAAUUCCUGGUGUAGCGGUGAAAUGCGCAGAGUAUCAGGAAGAACACCCGUGGCUAAGGCGGCUCUCUAGUACGGUACUGACGCUGAGACGCGAAAGCGUGGGGAGCGAACAGG
rnacentral:rRNA from 1 species